AGAGUUUGAUCCUGGCUCAGGAUGAACGCUGGCGGCGUGCCUAAUACAUGCAAGUCGAGCGAACCCUUCGGGGUUAGCGGCGGACGGGUGAGUAACACGUGGGUAACCUGCCUGUAAGACUGGGAUAACUUCGGGAAACCGUAGCUAAUACCGGAUAAUUUUCUAGUUCGCAUGAACGAGAAUGGAAAGAUGGCUUUUGC
rnacentral:rRNA from 1 species